UGGGGAAUAUUGCACAAUGGGGGAAACCCUGAUGCAGCGACGCCGCGUGGAGGAAGAAGGUCUUCGGAUUGUAAACUCCUGUUGUUGAGGAAGAUAAUGACGGUACUCAACAAGGAAGUGACGGCUAACUACGUGCCGGCAGCCGCGGUAAAACGUAGGUCACAAGCGUUGUCCGGAAUUACUGGGUGUAAAGGGAGCGCAGGCGGGAAGACAAGUUGGAAGUGAAAUCUAUGGGCUCAACCCAUAAACUGCUUUCAAAACUGUUUUUCUUGAGUAGUGCAGAGGUAGGCGGAAUUCCCGGUGUAGCGGUGGAAUGCGUAGAUAUCGGGAGGAACACCAGUGGCGAAGGCGGCCUACUGGGCACCAACUGACGCUGAGGCUCGAAAGUGUGGGUAGCAAACAGGAUUAGAUACCCUGGUAGUCCACACCGUAAACGAUGAUUACUAGGUGUUGGAGGAUUGACCCUUUCAGUGCCGCAGUUAACACAAUAAGUAAUCCACCUGGGGAGUACGACCGCAAGGUUGAAACUCAAAGGAAUUGACGGGGGCCCGCACAAGCAGUGGAGUAUGUGGUUUAAUUCGACGCAACGCGAAGAACCUUACCAAGUCUUGACAUCCUGCGACGCACAUAGAAAUAUGUGUUUCCUUCGGGACGCAGAGACAGGUGGUGCAUGGUUGUCGUCAGCUCGUGUCGUGAGAUGUUGGGUUAAGUCCCGCAACGAGCGCAACCCUUACUGUCAGUUACUACGCAAGAGGACUCUGGCAGGACUGCCGUUGACAAAACGGAGGAAGGUGGGGAUGACGUCAAAUCAUCAUGCCCUUUAUGACUUGGGCUACACACGUACUACAAUGGCGUUAAACAAAGAGAAGCAAGACCGCGAGGUGGAGCAAAACUCAGAAACAACGUCCCAGUUCGGACUGCAGGCUGCAACUCGCCUGCACGAAGUCGGAAUUGCUAGUAAUCGUGGAUCAGCAUGCCACGGUGAAUACGUUCCC
rnacentral:rRNA from 1 species